GAUGAACGCUGGCGGCGUGCCUAAUACAUGCAAGUCGAGCGAACACACGAGGAGCUUUCCCCUCUCACUUUAGCGGCGGACGCGUGUGUAAAACGUGGAUAACACACCUAUAAGACUGGGGUAACUUCCGGAAACCGGAGCUAAUACCGGAUAACCUGUUCAACACCAUGGUUCAACAGCGAAAGACGGUCUUGCUGUCGCUUAUCGCUGGAUCCGCACCGGAUUAGCUAGUAGGUAAGGUAACGGCUUACCCAGGCCACGAUGCGUAGCCGACCUGAGAGGAUGAUCAGCCACACUGGAACUGAGACACGGUCCAGACUCCUACGGGAGGCAGCAGUAGGGAAUCUUGCGCAAUGGGCGAAAGCCUGACGGAGCAACGCCGCGUGUGUGAAGAAGGUCUUCGGAUCGUAAAACUCUGUUAUUAGGGAAGAACAAAGUUGUGUGUAACUAUUCGCGUCUUGACGGUACCUAAACAGAAAGCCACGGCUAACUACGUG
rnacentral:rRNA from 1 species